rnacentral:rRNA from 1 species
UACGUAGGUGGCAAGCGUUGUCCGGAAUUAUUGGGCGUAAAGCGCGCGCAGGCGGUUCCUUAAGUCUGAUGUGAAAGCCCCCGGCUCAACCGGGGAGGGUCAUUGGAAACUGGGGAACUUGAGUGCAGAAGAGAAGAGCGGAAUUCCACGUGUAGCGGUGAAAUGCGUAGAGAUGUGGAGGAACACCAGUGGCGAAGGCGGCUCUUUGGUCUGUAACUGACGCUGAGGCGCGAAAGCGUGGGGAGCGAACAGG